UACGUAGGGGCAAGCGUUGUCCGGAAUCAUUGGGCGUAAAGCGCGUGUAGGCGGUCCGGUUAGUCGGCUGUGAAAGUCAAGGGCUCAACCCUUGAAUGCCGGUCGAUACUGCCGGACUAGAGUCCGGAAGAGGCAAGUGGAAUUCCCGGUGUAGCGGUGAAAUGCGCAGAUAUACGGGAGGAACACCAAUGGCGAAGGCAGCUUGCUGGGACGGUACUGACGCUGAGA
rnacentral:rRNA from 1 species